rnacentral:lncRNA from 1 species
AAUACAAUAUUUGUUAUAGUUCAGUUGAUCAGAAGAGAUCAGAACCAGAGCCCAGCUGUGUGUUUAUGAAGAGUGACGAGUCUAUAGAUCAUCCACAACAAUUCAGGUACAAUAUUUCAUCAACAGACAUAAUUGAAAUAUUUGUGAUGUUUUAUCAUGUGAUUAUUUAAUUGUUUAAUCUGAUAUUUUAACAUUUGCCCACACAGAGAGACACAUCUAUGAAAAUACUUAGUGUACCUUUAAUCUCUCUCUGUUAUAGUUCAGUUCACCAGAAGAAAUCUGAAGCAGAGCCCAGCUGUGUGUCUAUGAGGAGUGACGCUUCUUUGUAUCGUCCAGUUAAUUUUAAGAGUGAUGACACAAGGUCAGUCCUGCAACACAGAUCAGAAACAAAACCCGUCUGUGAGAAAUAUGACCAGUCUAUGAUCCAACCACAAGACAGCACGUAUCCUGGUGUGAGGUAAACUGUGGGAUUUUUUAAUGCAGUGCAUCAUCACACAUUACUCAAAUACAUCAU